rnacentral:rRNA from 1 species
AGAGUUUGAUCCUGGCUCAGGAUGAACGCUAGCGGCAGGCUUAAUACAUGCAAGUCGAGGGGCAGCAUGAGUGUAGCAAUACAUUUGAUGGCGACCGGCAAACGGGUGCGGAACACGUACAGAACCUUCCUUCGAGCGGAGAAUAGCCCAGAGAAAUUUGGAUUAAUACUCCAUAGUAUAGCGAAGAGGCAUCUCUUUGUUAUUAAAGAUUUAUCACUUGAAGAUGGCUGUGCGGCUGAUUAGGUAGUUGGCGGGGUAACGGCCCACCAAGCCUGCGAUCAGUAACUGGUGUGAGAGCACGACCAGUCACACGGGCACUGAGACACGGGCCCGACUCCUACGGGAGGCAGCAGUAAGGAAUAUUGGUCAAUGGGCGAAAGCCUGAACCAGCCAUGCCGCGUGGAGGAUGAAGGUCCUCUGGAUUGUAAACUUCUUUUAUCUGGGACGAAAAAAGGCUUUUCUAAGUCGUCUGACGGUACCAGAUGAAUAAGCACCGGCUAACUCCGUGCCAGCAGCCGCGGUAAUACGGAGGGUGCAAGCGUUAUCCGAAUUCACUGGGUUUAAAGGGUGCGUAGGUGGGUUGGUAAGUCAGUGGUGAAAUCCCCGGGCUUAACUUGGGAACUGCCAUUGAUACUAUCAGUCUUGAAUACCGUGGAGGUCAGCGGAAUAUGUCAUGUAGCGGUGAAAUGCUUAGAUAUGACAUAGAACACCAAUUGCGAAGGCAGCUGGCUACACGAGUAUUGACACUGAGGCACGAAAGCGUGGGGAUCAAACAGGAUUAGAUACCCUGGUAGUCCACG